CCGAGUGCGGGCCCCUCGGGGCCCAACCUCCCACCCGUGUUGCCCGAACCUAUGUUGCCUCGGCGGGCCCCGCGCCCGCCGACGGCCCCCCUGAACGCUGUCUGAAGUUGCAGUCUGAGACCUAUAACGAAAUUAGUUAAAACUUUCAACAACGGAUCUCUUGGUUCCGGCAUCGAUGAAGAACGCAGCGAAAUGCGAUAACUAAUGUGAAUUGCAGAAUUCAGUGAAUCAUCGAGUCUUUGAACGCACAUUGCGCCCUCUGGUAUUCCGGAGGGCAUGCCUGUCCGAGCGUCAUUGCUGCCCUCAAGCCCGGCUUGUGUGUUGGGCCCCGUCCCCCCCGCCGGGGGGACGGGCCCGAAAGGCAGCGGCGGCACCGCGUCCGGUCCUCGAGCGUAUGGGGCUUCGUCACCCGCUCUAGUAGGCCCGGCCGGCGCCAGCCGACCCCCAACCUUUAAUUAUCUCAGGUUGACCUCGGAUCAGGUAGGGAUA
rnacentral:rRNA from 1 species